rnacentral:lncRNA from 1 species
GCAGAGCCAGGCAGGGGCUUGGGUGAGCACAUCAUCCAACUAAUGUGAAGCCGACACAUGAGAAAGGGAAAUCAAGCCAUCAGCAAGUUUGGUACGAACAAAAUGACAGUCGACUUCAAUGUGCUUGGUCCGCUCAUGAAACACCAAAUUCUUAGCAAUAUGGAUGGCUGCCUGAUUGUCACAAUAAACAGACAAAGGAAAAGCAACAGAUAUACCAAUGUCAGAGAGUAAACGAGGACAGUAAAAUCUGGAGUGUCAGAAUAGAAUAGCCCCAAGUCCAUAGAACCCUUAAGAUACCUUAGAACAUGCAGAGCAGCAGACAUGUGAGGGAUUAGGAGCUUUCAAAAACUGACUUAAAUGUUGCACAACAAAACAUAUGUCAGGUCGAGUAUUAGUCAAGAAGAGGAGCUUGCCAAUCAAGCUCCUGUAAUGGCCAGGAGAAGGAAAAAGAUCACCAGAGUCAGCAUGCAAUUUAGUAUUGAGGUCCAAAGGACAGACAACAGGAGAGACAACCAUACAAUCAAACUGAUGCAGCAAAUCAGAAAUAAGCUUGUGCUGAUUAAGAAGAACAAUCAGCAUGCAACUUAGUAUUGAGGUCCAAAGGACAGACAACAGGAGAGACAGCCAUACAAUCAAACUGAUGCAGUAAAUCAGAAAUAAACUUGUGCUGACUAAGAAGAACACCACCAGCAAUGGAGGACACCUCAAUACCCAAAAAAUAGUGCAAAGAACCAAGGUAUUUGAUUCUGAAUUGGUCAUCCAGGAAAGCCUUGAGGGCAGAAAUUUCAGCAACAUCAUCCCCAGUGAUAAUAAUAUCAUCUACAUACACAGCCAGGACCACAAGAUACCCAGGUUGACCCUUGACAAAUAAAGAGUAAUCAUUAAUAGAAUGAUUGCCUGGAAGCUUGUCUCAGGCCAUAAAGUGACUUCUGUAAUUUGCAGACAAGAGGGGCAGAGGAGGAAGAACCAGAAGGGACAGAAACAGAUAAACCUGGAGGAAGCUUCAUAUUGACCUCCUCAUCUAGAUCACCAUGCAAGAAAGCAUUAUUGACAUCAAGUUGGAAAAGACCCCAAUGUUUCUUAACAGCCACAGCAAUCAGACACUUAACAGUAGACAUCUUUUAUUGACAUCAAGUUGGAAAAGACCCCAAUGUUUCUUAACAGCCACAACAAUUAGACACUUAACAGUAGACAUCUUGACCACAGGAGAGAAAUUUUCAGUGAAAUCAAUACCUUCAACUUGAGUAUCACCCCUAAUGACGAGUCUAGCUUUGUAUCUCUCAAUAGUACCAUCAGCUUUAUAUUUAAUCUUAUAGACCCACUUGCAUCCUAUGGGCUUUUUGCCAGAAGGAAGUGGAACAAUGUCCCAAGUAUGGUUAGCAUCCAAAGCCUCAAACUCCUUGCUCAUGGCACCUGCCAAGCUGGGAUAGAGGAAGCUUGAGAAUCGAAGAGGGGUUCAGACUCCAAAGGAGAAGAAGAGGAGGUGGAACCAGAAAAGGAAGACAUGUGACAAACAUAGUCAUUGAGAUAAGAUGGAGGAUUAUGUGGUCCGCCAGAUCUUCUGUGUCCAGUAGGGACAGCAGAAGGAGGAGUAGGGAAAGAAGGAGAAGGAAGAGCAGGAAGAGGAAUAGAAAGAGAAGAAAGAGAGGAAGGCAAGGAAGGGGAAGCUGGGCUGGAAACAGAAGGGGAAGGAACAGGUGGAGAAAGGCAAGGGAAAGGAGGCAGGACAAAAUCAGAACAUGGAAUAUCAGAGGAGGGAACAGGAGGAGGGGGAAAAACACAAGCAGGAGGAGGGACAGAAGAAGUAGAAUGAAAAGGAAAACAGGUCUCAUGAAAUACAACAUCUCUGGACACAAAAUAUUUCUUAGUAGUUAGGUCAUACAGCCUAUAGCCCUUUUUAGCAAAGGGAUAUCUUAGAAAAACACAAGACAAAGCUCUAGGUUGAAGAUUGUCUCUUUGUGGAAUGGGUACAGUGGCAUAUGCAAGGCAGCCAAAAGCCCUUAAAUGAGAAUAAGUAGGGGCUUGGCCAUGCAAUACUUCAUAAGGAUACUUAUUUUGAUGAAGUCUGGAGGGAAUCCUAUUAAGCAAGUAAGUUUGAUAUUUCUUUUAUUUUAUUUAAUCUUGGCCAUGCAAUACUUCAUAAGGAGACUUAUUAUGAAGAAGUCUGGAGGGAAUCCUAUUAAGCAAGUAUGUGGCAGUCAAUAUGCAAUCCCCCAAAAAAGGAAUAGGUAAAUUGGAUUGAAAAAGUAAAGCUCUACAUGCUUCAAGAAGGAUUCUAUGUUUUCUUUUCACAACACCAUUUUGUUGAGGAGUAUGAGGACAAGUCGUUUGAUGAAUGAUGCCAUGUUGAUUAAAGAAAGAGACACCAGCAAUACUAGAUCCUAAUUCAAAAGCAUUAUCACUUCUGACAGUUUGUACAGUGGCAUUAAAUUGUGUUUUGACCAUGCAUAUAAAGGACUUGAGAAGGCUGAAGGCAUUACUUUUAGACCCCAGUAAAUGUGUCCAGGUUGCUCUAGAGAAAUCAUCAACUAUAGUAAGGAAAUACUUACAACCAGAAGAAGUAGGGGUGUGAUAAGGGCCCCAAGUAUCCACAUGAAUAAGCUGGAAAGGUCUACAUGUACUGAUAGAACUGUCAGGAAAAGAUAAUCUAGUUUGCUAGCCAUGGGACAAACGGAACAGGGAAAAGGCUGUUUAGAAGCAAAAGGGAAAGAUAAAGCAUAAAUGUGUUUCAUGUGUGCAAAAGGAAUAUAAGCCAGUCUUAAGUGCCAAAUGUAGUUCAUGUCAUUACCAUCAAAUUUAUUAUGACAAGUAGAACUAUUUAUAUUGGAAGAUAAAGCAGCAAGAUUUAGAUCAGAAGAACAAUCAUGAUUACAAGAAUCUUUAUUAGAGCAUACAGAAUUGAAAGAAGAGCAAGUAACAGAAGAGGAUGAAGGGGGCACCCAAGCAAAUUUGUACAGACCAGCCUCCUCUUUACCAAGAUCCAGAGGCAUCUUCAGAGAAGGGGCCUGUAACAUGUGAAGGAAACAAGAAGUUGCAGUAAAUAGAACAUACAGUGCAACUGUUUCACCAAUUUGUGGACAGAAAUCAAAUUGUGUUUAAAAGAAGGGACAAACAGUACAUUAUGAAGAGUAAUGGAAGGAGUUAAAGCAAAAGAACCAGUUGAAGUUACUUUUACUUUGUAUCCAUUAGGAAGGGUAACAAGAUAAGGUACAAGUAAAGGGGUGAUAUUGAAGAGUAAGUGUAUAUUAGAUGUCAUGUGGUCAAAAGCUCCAGAAUCUAUUAUCCAGGAAACAGAAGCAAUAUGAGUAAGUAAGCAGAGUUUGGAAUUAGAAACAGGACUCUCAGUAAGCAUAGACCAGCAAAGUUGGCAGCACAUAUAGUGGGGGAUGGCUGAGCAGGGGAAGUCUGAGCAGUAGAUUCACCCAAAUUGGACUGUUGGAGCAGAUUCAUCAACUGAUCAUAGUGGUGUCUGCUCAAGCCAGGAAUAGCAGAAUUAUGUCCAUCCACAUGCUGGACGGGUGAAUAACCCUCAGUAUGAAUUCCAGAGGCAGGAGAAUUAUGACCAGCAGAAUAAGGAGAGGAUGUGAAGUCAACACCAGUAGUGACAUGAGUAGCAGUGGGUCUCUUGCCUUUGUUAAACCUGAUGCUUUGAGGAAAACCAUGAAGUUUGUAGCACUUAUCAAUUAAGUGCCCAGACUUCUUGCAAUAUCAACAGAAGAGGAGUAGCAGUGGGUCUCUUGCCUUUGUUAAACCUGAUGCUUUGAGGAAAACCAUGAAGUUUGUAGCACUUAUCAAUUAAGUGUCCAGACUUCUUACAAUAUCUACAGAAGAGGGGUCCUCUGGACUGAUCAAAACUAACUCUCUGGGCAUACUGUUUGGGAGGAGAGAUUUGAGCAAGGGAGCAGGAUUGAAGGAAGGUUUAUGUGUAUUAACAUUGAAGGAUAUGGAAUCAGAAUUGAACUGAGAGACAGACUGAACUUGUCUCUGUUUUUCAUCAUUGAGGAGAAUGUUAUAGACAUUGUCAAGACUAGGAGGAGGUUGCAUCAUUAACAGGUUGGUCCUCACCCCCAUAUAUGUCUCAUUAAGACCCAUGAGGAAUUGAAAUACCUUAUUCUCCUCAUCCUCCUGUAUAAUCUCAGGUCUGGCAUCACAGAUACAUCUCUGUCCAUGAUUUAGGCACAUUGUCCCUAACUCAUCCCAUAAACCUUUGAGUUUGUUGAAAUAGGAGGCUAUAUCUAGGGCUCCUUGAGAAGAGUGAGAAAGUUCACGUUUCAGUUCAAAGAUUUUGGUCCUAUUGGCUGUGCCAUAUCUGGCUUCGAGUUGUGACCAUAUACUCUGUGCAGUGUCAGAGUAUUGAACACUUUCAGCAAUUUGAGGGGACAGAGAGGCAGUCAACUAGGAUAUAACCAUGUUGUUGCAUCUGCCCCAUAGUCUCUGUUCAGCUAGAUUAGUGGUUGGUCUAGGACAAGUUCCAUCAACAAAAGCAAUUUUGUUCUUAGCAGAUAAGGCUACUAUCACCUUUCUUCUCCAACCCCCAUAGCCAUUACCCGAGAAGGGGAUAGGAACAAGAGAAAUUCCGGGGACAUCAGAAGAGUAAACAAAUAGGGGAUUUGUAGGGUCGAUAGGUGGGGGAUUAACAGGGUUCACAUCCGCCAUCAAAUACAAGAUAAUAAGGAUGAAAAAGAGAGAGAUACAAUAACUAUGAGCAACACAAUACAGCAACAAAGUUACAUGCAAGCCCUAAUCUAGUGGGAUAAUAGGGUUACCAGGCUUCUACGCAACCGGAGAAGAUACGGCCUUCAAAAAAAUUGCAGAGAAACCUUAACUUGUAUCGGAGAACGUACGGCCUUCAAAAAAAUUUGCAGAGAAACCUUAACUUGUAAAGGAAACCCUAGCUUCGUUGUCAGGAAACCCUAGCUUGCAGAAAACCCGGUGGAAUCAAGUAUAGGAGAUGUCGGAAAGUCACCCUAACACCUCGUUGGAAGAAUCGGUCAACACAAUAACUCCGAUUUCACCAAACCUCAAAGAAAACUCCAGAAUCUUCACCGUGAAAAGAAAACCAGAAAUCAUCACCGAUAACGCCAUGAACUCUGACCAAAAGGACGGGGAAGAUAGAGAAUAUGUCCGGGAGAAAUAUUUAGGCUCUGAUACCAUGAAAAAAUGGUGAAUCGGAGUUGAUCAAAGCUGGAAAAAGGUAAAAUAGAGAGAGAAAGUAGAGAGAAAUGAGAGAAAACCCUCUCUGUAUUGAGAUGAAAA